GAUUCUCCUGCAGGGAACGGCACAUUAAAGCAGGGGUGAGCUUCAUCAUGCUGAAGUCACUCCCUCCCUCACACGUCAGUCGAAGUGAAGCAAUGUGCAUCUUCAGCACAAGCAUUAACACAGACCUGACAGGACGGGGAACAAGAGAAACCUGUUGAACUCUACCGUGUAUGUGCAAUCGGCAGACUCCAGCCUGGCAGAAAUCCUAAAGGGGAACGAGCUCAGGUUCAGUAACAGAUACAGUGCGAGGAAAAGAAAGGGACAGAGAGAAAACCUGUGGAUUGAGAGGGAUUUAAAAGGCAUAACAAGUCCGGUAAAAUGAGAGGGAGUGAACUAUAGUGCCUAGGGAGGCACACUUGGAUGGCAAAACUCUACGUGAGUUAACAUAAUACAUUAAAUACCUGCUUUUGGAGGGGGAGAGGGACUUGACAAGAGACUCUGGGAAAGGCUGGCAAAGUUCUUUUUCUUGGCCUGAAUGGUAUUUAAAAGGGUAUUUGCCUUAUAAUAACCUUAACAAUAAUGCUAACUAUACAUUAGUUUUACAAGGCUUUUUGUGUCUAUAUUUUAAUAUAAUGAAAAGGUUUUUUUUAAAAAAAAUCAUAUUGAAUCAAUGGCCAAAGAGAACAGGAAAAGUAAGAGCUAGUUUUCCUUUUAAAUUCAUGCGGAGACAGCUUUAUCAAAUGAAAUCAUGCCAGUGACACCACUCAUUUAUUUGUUCAUAUAACUUUAAAUUCCUAGCCAACAUGGUGCUAGGACCUCAGGAAACACAGAUGUAUGGCCGAGUUUCCACCCUUAAGGAUUUCAGUGUUUUUGCCCAGACAGAUGUUUAAACAGAUAAAAGUACUGGAGCGGUGCCCAGUGCCUUUAUAGAGUAAGAAGCCAGGGCGCCAGGAAAGAACAACUGCCUGGGAGAUUAGGGUGCUGACCAGAGAGGCUCUGAGCUAGGUCUUAAAAUAAGACAUUGCAGGCGAGGAAAGGGCAUUUGGGCAGCUUUCCUGAAAUCCUUAAUCUCCGAUCAGGGUCCACCAAACUUCUCCACCCCACAGUCAUUAUCAGAUCACCCAAACUCUCCGCUUGGAAGUGCAGUCCCAGGCAGAGCCUGGGUCUUCUGUCCAGGAGAUCGAUCUCUUGGCUCAUCUCCUCACGUGUCCCUCUGGACAUCCCCAUGCCUCCGUCCAUUCCCCUUUCGCUCCCGUUAGAUACUCUGGGGAUUUCCUCUCCAGCUGGAGGCCUGGCUCCUCUGGUGCCCAGGGAGCCUGGUGGGCUUUCAUUCCUGGUUGUCUGGCAGUGCAGAAUCAGGAAUUCAGUACACUGUCAAGUGAAAAGGGAUGCUCCCAGGGGAAAGAUAAAUGGCUGAAAGAGAGAAUGUGGGGCCAGUAUUCAAAACAGCUACGGCCUGGGUUCGCGCCUCAUGUAGACCCGCCCUCCCCCGGCCCCAUGGAACGUUAGUUAUUACAUCGACAGUCAGCCUUCUUCCACGUUCUCUCACUGGACCGUAUUUCCAUGAGAUGCACAGAUGAAAACUUCUCAGUUCCUCAUAAUAAAAGGGGAGUUCUUGGAAUGGUCAACAAAGGCCGUCACAGCAAUGGGUCACAAUUCUAUAUCACACUACAGGCUACUCCGUAUCUAGAUAAAAAAUAUGUGGCUUUUGGGCAACUGAUUGAAGGAACAGAUGUUCUUCAUCAACUAGAAUCGGUUCCAACAGAGAAUGAAAGACCAAUACAAAACUGUGUAAUUACUGACAGUGGAGAGCUUUAUGCCUGACUUUCCUAUCAGUAUUUUCUGACAGUUUUAUUAUUAUAUAUCUGAUCAGCUGUUUCUAGAUUUAAUUAAAUGGUGCUUGAUAAAAUUUAAUUUGAAAGCUGUGGCAGAUGCUGUAGGGUAGCUCUCCAACACCCACUCCCUCCCCAUUUUCCUUUCUUAUCUAAAGCAAAAUACACAAUUUUCCAGCUUUCUUUGCGUCAGGAGUAGCCAUAAGAUACUGUAUCGGCCAGUCAGACAGGAGUAGGAUGCCAGUGGUCCUGCCCCUUCCCUCCUAUCCAGUCUUGAAUGCAGAGAGGCUGGAGCCAUGAAGGAAAGGCUAAGAGAACCACAAAGAUAUUAGCUCCAGUUCUUGAUCUGUAAGGACCAAUAACAGCACCUAUCUAUGUCUCGACUUCUUACUAUAUGAGACAAAUAGACUACUGUUUGUUGGUUGGUUGAUUUUGUUACUUGUAGCCAAAACCAUUCUUAACUUAGCAGCACUACUUAAUGGCCUUGAAUCCUAAAACAUUUGUAACUAUAAUAGAAUUAUGUUGCUGUUUAUAUUUCUCCCAUAAGAAGCUUGGUAAAUAAUCAAAUAUGAGAGGCAACAGAAUAAAAUUCAUUGUAAUAUUUGUUUAAAACAAAGCAUUCAGAAAAGGGUAUACACUUUGGAUGUUUUUAUGCGUAAAAUGCUUGUCUCUGA